CCUUUCUUUUGUUUUUUGCUUUCUGGGCUACACAGGUGGGCCUUUUUUGUUGUUGCGUAGGCUGCAUUUUUUAAGCACAUAACAGGCAUGUUUCUUUGUUUGUUUGAUUUUUCUCUCGUGUUCAAUUGGUUUGGACCUCCUAUUCGACGUCUUCAGCGCCGGUUAGGGAAACCGGCACCUGCAGCGCUCUACCUCAUGGGCCGGUUCAUGUAAAAAUGUGUUGGUCAUUAAAAAAUUAAAAAAAUCACAUAAUUUCAGAAAGUUCAUAUUUG
rnacentral:lncRNA from 1 species